AUGCAUUGGUGGCUUCGGGAACUCUGAAAAAAGGUGCUGCAUGGCUGUCGUCAGCUCGUGUUGUGAAAUGUUGGGUUAAGUCCCGCAACGAGCGCAACCCUUAUCCUUUGUUGCCAGCGGUUCGGCCGGGAACUCAAAGGAGACUGCCAGUGAUAAACUGGAGGAAGGUGGGGAUGACGUCAAGUCAUCAUGGCCCUUACGAGUAGGGCUACACACGUGCUACAAUGGCGUAUACAAAGAGAAGCGACCUCGCGAGAGCAAGCGGACCUCAUAAAGUACGUCGUAGUCCGGAUUGGAGUCUGCAACUCGACUCCAUGAAGUCGGAAUCGCUAGUAAUCGUAGAUCAGAAUGCUACGGUGAAUACGUUCCCGGGCCUUGUACACACCGCCCGUCACACCAUGGGAGUGGGUUGCAAAAGAAGUAGGUAGCUAAUCUUCGGGAGGGCGCUAUACUAGUAGAGGAAAAAUUAUAUUCGCGGCC
rnacentral:rRNA from 1 species